rnacentral:rRNA from 1 species
UACGUAGGGUGCAAGCGUUGUCCGGAAUUAUUGGGCGUAAAGAGCUCGUAGGCGGUUUGUUGCGUCGGCUGUGAAAUCCCGAGGCUCAACCUCGGGUCUGCAGUCGAUACGAGCAAACUAGAGUGUUGCAGGGGAGACUGGAAUUCCUGGUGUAGCGGUGAAAUGCGUAGAUAUCGGGAGGAACACCAGUGGCGAAAGCGGCCUUCUGGACCAUUCCUGACGCUCAGACGCGAAAGCUAGGGGAGCGAACGGG